UAGCCGUAAACGAUACUCGCUAGGUGUCGGCCACGGUGCGACCGUUGUCGGUGCCGUAGGGAAGCCGUGAAGCGAGCCACCUGGGAAGUACGGCCGCAAGGCUGAAAACUUAAAGGAAUUGGGCGGGGGAGCACCACAACGGGUGGAGCUUGCGGUUUAAUUGGAUUCAACGCCGGAAAUCUUACCGGGACCGACAGCAACAUGAAGGCCAGGCUGAAGACUUUGCCGGAUUAGCUGAGAGGUGGUGCAUGGCGUAGACGUCU
rnacentral:rRNA from 1 species